UUUUCUGUCGUCUGCAACUCCUCACUCUAUGUCUCUAUCCAGACACACCAUGAGAAAUCCAAAUUGCCAGAAUUUUGAUUUCAAUAUUUCGCUAUGGCCGUUUGGAGAAAACCAAGGAUUAAACCCACCAAAUACAUUUUCAGGGAUGUCACCCAAAACAUCUAAUUAUCCAUCCCUGAUUAUGAAUUAGAAUUUAGAAGUGUCCAGAAUGCAGUGCAUAAAUAACCUGUUUCUUCAUUUCCACGUAAUUAGAGUCCCCGGACCCAAAAACCAAUUCCAACUCUCCCCUCUCCAAAACCCCUAGCGAGACUCAGAGCCGCCGCCUCCUCCGGUUGAAGCAUGCAUCAGGUGGCGGCGGUGCUGAGGAUUCUAGCGUGUGCUUAUCUCCUCAUGUUCACUUUCUUCUGGACUCCUCGCAUUCCCCAACUUAUGGGCGGGACACCUCUGCAGAGGGAACUCGCCCGGAUUUGGGGCGUCACCAAUUUGAUACUCAUGUUUGACAUUCUCCGGAAUAUCCUCAUCUUUGCCUAUUACAUAGUCAACAUGCUACUGAUUUACAUAAUCAACAUGCCACUGCUGAUCCGCAACUCAAGGAGGAUAAUCUGUUUCUUGUGUCUUUGGGGAGCUAUAUCCCUUGCUCUUUAUAUUUCAAACUGAGGCAGCAAAGCAUCAGGAAAGGGUGUGUCAGAAAAAGCUUCAUCAGGGAAGGCUUUAAUUUUGGGUAUGGAUUAGCAGUUUGAAUUUUGCUAACUUGUUGGUAGGAAUUUGUGAAGUUAACACUCUAGAACAGAACCGGAAGUUAAUCCUCUAGAAGCUACAGAAAAAGGAGUUGCAAUUGUUUAUAAAUGUGUGGAAUGAUGUUGAGAAGAACAGAAAAAACUCAAAUUUAUUUUCCAUGUUUUAACCAGUCUAAAUAGUACGAUAAAUUUGGAGUACAUGUUGUUUUAAUUCCCAUAGUUUUAUGCAUUUUCCUUUCGAACUGUUUGUUUGCUCUUUCUUCAACUUAUACUUUGUUCGCAAGAAAUGCUGGGUCUGAAAAGAAGGCGAAAAUGCAAUAUUAGCGUUUCAGACUUGGGGCAGGAAGGUUUGCAAUUGUAAGCUAUUCACUGCCUAUGAGGCCAUCGCAUGUAAUUGUUGAUUCAUGUAUUGAGGUGGAGCCAAUCUUCCAUGCUUUAUCAGUUCAUGAUUCUCAAUCUGUAUGGUUCAUACACUUUGCUGGACAUAGAAGUUUAGAAAGGAAAUUUCGUUCAAUUCGUCUUAUUUUAGAUGGGAGGCAAACUUGUAAUCAAUGUAUUGAAUCACCACAUCUGCUAGAAAAUGUGUAUGUUUGGUUUGGGUUUCAAUGGUUA